AUUGAACGCUGGCGGCAUGCCUUACACAUGCAAGUCGAACGGCAGCACGGGAGCAAUCCUGGUGGCGAGUGGCGAACGGGUGAGUAAUAUAUCGGAACGUGCCCAGGAGUGGGGGAUAGCCCGGCGAAAGCCGGAUUAAUACCGCAUACGACCCGAGGGUGAAAGCGGGGGAUCGCAAGACCUCGCGCAAUUGGAGCGGGCGAUAUCAGAUUGGCGUGUUGGUGGGGUAAAAGCCUACCAAGGCGACGACCUGUAGCUGGUCUGAGAGGACGACCAGCAGCACUGGGACUGAGACACGGCCCAGACGCCUACGGGAGGCAGCAGUGGGGAAUUUUGGACAAUGGGCGCAAGCCUGAUCCAGCCAUGCCGCGUGCGGGAAGAAGGCCUUCGGGUUGUAAACCGCUUUUGUCAGGGAAGAAACGGCUCUUGAUAAUACCGAGAGCUAAUGACGGUACCUGAAGAAUAAGCACCGGCUAACUACGUGCCAGCCGCCGCAGUAA
rnacentral:rRNA from 1 species